UUGGGGAUAUGUACUUAAUAUAUCUUUAGAAAUAAAGGUUCAAAGCCAAUUACCUCAAACUUUUAUUCAGCAAAUACAUAAUGAAAGGAAACAAAUCUUGAACAACUUUAUUCGAAUUAUUUAGUAGGAUAUUAGCAACAUUUCGUGCUAAUACAUAUAACCUUACAUUUCAUACUUCAAUCCAACAAUUGUCAAAUUUUUUUAUUUUACUUUAAACAAUAUGUUUCUUCAUGUGUUUACAAUCUUACAGCAAAGGUAGAAAAGUAGAACUGGUAAAAAUAACAGAGGCAAUCAUAUCAAGAGCAAAAAUGUAAAAUGUAGAAUAUUUCAGUAAAUUGUAUUCAUGUCUUUUGGCACACAUUUGGAACCGAACCCAUCAAACUAUAGAUAGGGCAAGGAACAUUAUUGUCUUCAACGAUAGACUGAAUUGAGAAAUCAUGUUUCCUUAGGCAAAUAUAACAUGGGUUAAAUUAGACCAUACUGACCAGUUAAUUAAUUUAGUGGCUUACCAGAAGCUAUGGGAAGUGAAAUACAAGGACACAAACUUACAAUGGUACCACUAAGAAUUUGGGGUAGAAUAAUAUCCCUUGUGAUGAAAGAUGAACUAGAAGAUGAUACGCCAUUAUUAAGUACUCUCAUUCAAGUAAAUAAUAAUAAAAACACUAAUCAAUUAGAAAGCUCGUGUAUUAUUUACAAAAUAAAUAUCUUA